rnacentral:rRNA from 1 species
GAUGAACGCUGGCGGCGUGCUUAAUACAUGCAAGUCGAACGGAGACAGUAGCAAUAUUGUCUUAGUGGCGAACGGGUGAGUAACGCGUUGGUGACCUGCCCCGAAGAGGGGGAUAACAGUCCGAAAGGAUUGCUAAUACCCCAUGUGGUCGUUUGGAUUAGAUGCCUUAUGACUAAACGGAUUUAUUCGCUUCGGGAGGGGCCUGCGUCCCAUCAGCUAGUUGGUAAGGUAAUGGCUUACCAAGGCGAUGACGGGUAGGGGACCUGAGAGGGUGGCCCCCCACAAUGGAACUGAAACACGGUCCAUACACCUACGGGUGGCAGCAGUAGGGAAUAUUGGUAAUGUGCGAAAGCGCGAACCAGCAACGCCGCGUGCGCGAUGAAGGCCUUCGGGUUGUAAAGCGCUUUUUAUGGGGAUGAGGAAGGACAGUACUCAUAGAAUAAGCCUCGGCUAACUACGUGCCAGCAGCCGCCGCAGUAA